AUGCAGUGUGGAAGCUGUACAGUGUGCUAUACAUAUAUACGGUGUAUAUGUAUGUACUAUACCAUUUUUCUG